GACGUAGGAGGCGAGCGUUGUCCGGAUUCAUUGGGCGUAAAGAGCGCGCAGGCGGCUUGGUAAGUCGGAUGUGAAAUCCCGAGGCUCAACCUCGGGUCUGCAUCCGAUACUGCCCGGCUAGAGGUAGGUAGGGGAGAUCGGAAUUCCUGGUGUGAGCGGUGGAAAUGCGCAGAUAUCAGGAGGAACACCGGUGGCGAAGGCGGCCUGCUGGGGCAGUUUAGCUGACACUGAGGCGCGACAGCGUGGGGAGCAAACAGG
rnacentral:rRNA from 1 species